rnacentral:RNase_P_RNA from 1 species
UGAGUUGGCCAGGCGGUCGCGUGAUCGAAAGAUCCCGAGGAACGUCCGGGCUCCGCAGGGCAAGGUGAUGGCUAACGGCCACCCGGGGUGACCCGCGGGAAAGUGCCACAGAAAGCAAACCGCCGCCAGCCUCGCGGCUGGUGGUAAGGGUGAAAGGGUGAGGUAAGAGCUCACCGCGUUUCCGGUGACGGGAACGGCACGGUAAACCCCACCUGGAGCAAGACCAGACAGGGAACGAUUGAGGGCGGCCCGCCCGAGUUCCCGGGUAGGUUGCUGGAGCCCUGGAGCAAUCCAGGGCCUAGAUGGAUGACCGCCCGGUGCGCAGGCAGCAAUGCGGCGCACAGGACAGAACCCGGCGUACCGGCCAACUCAUCCG